rnacentral:rRNA from 1 species
GAUGAACGCUGGCGGCGUGCCUAAUACAUGCAAGUCGAGCGAACGGACGAGAAGCUUGCUUCUCUGAUGUUAGCGGCGGACGGGUGAGUAACACGUGGAUAACCUACCUAUAAGACUGGGAUAACUUCGGGAAACCGUAGCUAAUACCGGAUAAUAUUUUGAACCGCAUGGUUCAAAAGUGAAAGACGGUCUUGCUGUCACUUAUAGAUGGAUCCGCGCUGCAUUAGUUAGUUGGUAAGGUAACGGCUUACCAAGGCAACGAUGCAUAGCCGACCUGAGAGGGGGAUCGGCCACACGGGAACGGAGAAACGGCCCAGACUCCUACGGGAGGCAGCAGUAGGGAAUCUUCCGCAAUGGGCGAAGGCCGGACGGAGCAACGCCGCGUGGGUGAGGAAGGUCUUCGGAUCGUAAAACUCUGUUAUUGGGGAAGAACAUAUGUGUAAGUAACUGUGCACAUCUUGACGGUACCUAAUCAGAAAGCCACGGCUAACUACGUG